rnacentral:rRNA from 1 species
UCCGUAGGGUGAACCUGCGGAGGGAUCAUUACCGAGUUUACAACUCCCAAACCCCUGUGAACAUACCAAUUGUUGCCUCGGCGGAUCAGCCCGCUCCCGGUAAAACGGGACGGCCCGCCAGAGGACCCCUAAACUCUGUUUCUAUAUGUAACUUCUGAGUAAAACCAUAAAUAAAUCAAAACUUUCAACAACGGAUCUCUUGGUUCUGGCAUCGAUGAAGAACGCAGCAAAAUGCGAUAAGUAAUGUGAAUUGCAGAAUUCAGUGAAUCAUCGAAUCUUUGAACGCACAUUGCGCCCGCCAGUAUUCUGGCGGGCAUGCCUGUUCGAGCGUCAUUUCAACCCUCAAGCCCAGCUUGGUGUUGGGACUCGCGAGUCAAAUCGCGUUCCCCAAAUUGAUUGGCGGUCACGUCGAGCUUCCAUAGCGUAGUAGUAAAACCCUCGUUACUGGUAAUCGUCGCGGCCACGCCGUUAAACCCCAACUUCUGAAUGUUGACCUCGGAUCAGGUAGGAAUACCCGCUGAACUUAAGCAUAUCAAUAA